CAGGCUGCCACAGAGAAAUAAGAAAAACAGAGAAGACUCAAGAAAAAAACAGCCAUAGGAAACCACCCCAAGACUUCAACAUGGAUUGCACCCCCUUCUUUGCUGGUUCCUGGAAGAUUCCUAGAGGUGAGGGAAGAGUGAGACUUCCUCAUGAAGAUUUUUUAGGUACAGACGGCAUUAUAAGGAGGCACUACAAUGCAUUGAAGAAGAACUGGAGCAUUGGACCUUGUGGGACUGGGGAAAUGUUGCUGCUUGUUCCUGUUCUACCCAGCUAAAUGAGAAAGUAAAAUUGGAAAGGGAAGGAAGGAUUCUGCCUCAGUUCAUUUCUGAUGUAAUUUAAAGACACAGAGGAGUAAGAGACAAAUAUGUCAUAGGGUGGAGAAAGACUCUGCACCCAUUCAUUGAGGAGGCACCUGGAUGAGCAGGGAUGCUUCAUGCUUCAGUCCUGACUCCUUGUGGCCAGCAUCUGCUGCAAAAGACUGAACUUUGGGGUGAGAAUCUCCCUAACUGGAUAGGAAAAGUAACUAUUAGAGUUCUAUCUGUUUGCAGUGGGCUUGCCCUGAGUACAAUGAACAGAUCCUCACAGUAAGAAAACAAGGACAGCUAUCCCCAGGAAAAGGGCAGCGCAAGCAAUGGUAAGAUGUCAGAGAAAUGUGCACAGGACAGUCCUGGCAAUUGAUGGGGCAGGCAAGCUUAUAUUGGCUGGGAGGACUUGUGGGGCCAAAUAGGGCAGGGCAAGAGGGCAAUAUGCGAUAAGCAUAGUGAGGGAUUGGUACGUAUGUGCUCAGUUUCAUCGACUGAGCUGGCCUGCAGGUGCAUCAGGCACCCAGUUUACAAAAGAACAAUGCCAACCACUUUUUUGUUUUAUUUUGUUUUUAAAAAAACCUACCUAGGACAGGUCCUGAAAACAGAGGCACACUGUUCUCAGGGAUACAUAACACCCUGAGCCCCAGUACUACUGCCUGUGCAAUUAGAACUGUCAUCCAGAUCUUGAGCCCUGAAUCUCACAGGCUAUCACUCCUCAUGUUCUCGAGAUAAAAGGCUGGAAGUUGAACAUGCCAAAAGUGUCUUUAUGGCAAACCCAACUUCCGGGUCCACAUUUCUGACUCCACCAACAGCUACUUGCUUCCAGAGUCUGUAUCCUGUUCUGCUUUCCACUCAGACCCACUACUGCUCCACCCCAUCCCCCAGCAAUCAGUAGGAGGGGCUGCCCUAAAUUCUGCAGUGAGCCCAAUUAAUUUUAGCAGCUUGGUGUUAAUGGUUCCUGUUGCAAACUGGAAAUUAGGCAAUUAUGGAGAAAAUAUACAAAAACUGAAAAACACAAUUCAACACUAUUAUAUCCCAUUCCAUUUCAGUACCCCUUGCUUUUUGACCUACUCCCAUUACCAGUCACUAAUUUGUUCUAUGCUGAAUUUCCCUUUUGUCCUUUAAACUUUGCUAGCUGAUGAUCAUCUCUGAUAUAUGAUCAAGGGCCAUAAAAAUACACUGGGUUUGCUACCUACGUGCUCAGGAAGCAGCCAUUAGCACAUCAUUGUAUGAAGCUGCAGAUUUGGUUUAUAAAGAAGGUUCUUGUCAUUGAUCUCACAGGUGCCCCACAGAAACCAGAAAGAAAUUAAUUAAUUCCUAAUAUUAUUUUAGGGUAUGACAGUUUGUUUUUAUACAUGUCAUGCCUUCUUUCCAGAAACUAACUUGCCUCAAAAACAUGGUCUACCUCUUUUAAAAAAAGUUUAUCUCCCCUUGAAACUAAUUGCUAGGAGUAAAGUAUCAAGGCAGCAUUUUCUGUUAUUACAAGUGAGCUCUCCGAGUUAUUUCUCCCUUAUAUGUUAAG